rnacentral:rRNA from 1 species
GAUGAACGCUGGCGGCGUGCCUAAUACAUGCAAGUAGAACGCUGAAGGAGGAGCUUGCUCUUCUGGAUGAGUUGCGAACGGGUGAGUAACGCGUAGGUAACCUGCCUGGUAGCGGGGGAUAACUAUUGGAAACGAUAGCUAAUACCGCAUGACAACAGUUAUUGCAUGAUAACUGUUUAAAAGGGGCAACUGCUCCACUUCCAGAUGGACCUGCGUUGUAUUAGCUAGUUGGUGAGGUAACGGCUCACCAAGGCGACGAUACAUAGCCGACCUGAGAGGGUGAUCGGCCACACUGGGACUGAGACACGGCCCAGACUCCUACGGGAGGCAGCAGUAGGGAAUCUUCGGCAAUGGACGGAAGUCUGACCGAGCAACGCCGCGUGAGUGAAGAAGGUUUUCGGAUCGUAAAGCUCUGUUGUAAGAGAAGAACGAGUGUGAGAGUGGAAAGUUCACACUGUGACGGUAUCUUACCAGAAAGGGACGGCUAACUACGUG